GACGAACGCUGGCGGCGUGCUUAGCACAUGCAAGUCGAACGGAAAGGCCCUGCUUUUGUGGGGUGCUCGAGUGGCGAACGGGUGAGUAACACGUGAGUAACCUGCCCUUGACUUUGGGAUAACUUCAGGAAACUGGGGCUAAUACCGGAUAGGAGCUCCUGCUGCAUGGUGGGGGUUGGAAAGUUUCGGCGGUUGGGGAUGGACUCGCGGCUUAUCAGCUUGUUGGUGGGGUAGUGGCUUACCAAGGCUUUGACGGGUAGCCGGCCUGAGAGGGUGACCGGCCACAUUGGGACUGAGAUACGGCCCAGACUCCUACGGGAGGCAGCAGUGGGGAAUAUUGCACAAUGGGCGGAAGCCUGAUGCAGCAACGCCGCGUGCGGGAUGACGGUCUUCGGGUUGUAAACCGCUUUCGCCUGUGACGAAGCGUGAGUGACGGUAAUGGGUAAAGAAGCACCGGCUAACUACGUG
rnacentral:rRNA from 1 species